rnacentral:rRNA from 1 species
CAGUCGCCGCGGGAAUACGAAGGGGGCUAGCGUUGCUCGGAAUGACUGGCCGUAAAGGGCGCGUAGGCGGCGGCCAAAGUCAGGCGUGAAAUUCCUGGGCUCAACCUGGGGGCUGCGCUUGAUACUUGGUUGCUUGAGUGGGGAAGAGGGUCGUGGAAUUCCCAGUGUAGAGGUGAAAUUCGUAGAUAUUGGGAAGAACACCGGUGGCGAAGGCGGCGACCUGGUCCUUGACUGACGCUGAGGCGCGAAAGCGUGGGGAGCAAACAGGAUUAGAUACCCCUGUAGUCCCUGUCUCUUAUAC